UGGAGGGGAGCGGCAGACGGGUGAGUAACGCGUGGGAAUCUACCCAUCCCUACGGAACAACUCCGGGAAACUGGAGCUGAUACCGUAUACGCCCUUCGGGGGAAAGAUUUNUCGGGGAUGGAUGANCCCGCGUUGGAUUAGCUAGUUGGUGGGGUAAAGGCCUACCAAGGCGACGAUCCAUAGCUGGUCUGAGAGGAUGAUCAGCCNCNUUGGGACUGAGACACGGCCCAAACUCCUACGGGAGGCAGCAGUGGGGAAUAUUGGACAAUGGGCGCANGCCUGAUCCAGCCAUGCCGCGUGAGUGAUGAAGGCCUUAGGGUUGUAAAGCUCUUUCACCGGAGAANAUAAUGACGGNAUCCGGAGAAGAAGCCCCGGCUAACUUCGUGCCAGCAGCCGCGGUAAUACGAAGGGGGCUAGCGUUGUUCGGAAUUACUGGGCGUAAAGCGCACGUNNGCGGAUAUUUANGUCAGGGGUGAAAUCC
rnacentral:rRNA from 1 species